GGAUGAACGCUGGCGGCGUGCCUAAUACAUGCAAGUCGAACGCAUCACUUCGGUGAUGAGUGGCGAACGGGUGAGUAAUACAUAAGUAACCUGGCCCAUACAGGGGGAUAACUGCUGGAAACGGCAGCUAAGACCGCAUAUGUGUAGAGAUCGCAUGAACUCUAUAUGAAAAGUGCUACGGCACUGGUAAGGGAUGGACUUAUGGCGCAUUAGCUAGUUGGCAGGGUAAAGGCCUACCAAGGCGACGAUGCGUAGCCGACCUGAGAGGGUGACCGGCCACACUGGGACUGAGACACGGCCCAGACUCCUACGGGAGGCAGCAGUAGGGAAUUUUCGGCAAUGGGGGAAACCCUGACCGAGCAACGCCGCGUGAAGGAAGAAGUAAUUCGUUAUGUAAACUUCUGUCAUAGAGGAAGAACGGUGGAUAUAGGGAAUGAUAUCCAAGUGACGGUACUCUAUAAGAAAGCCACGGCUAACUACGUGCCAGCAGCCGCGGUAAUACGUAGGUGGCGAGCGUUAUCCGGAAUUAUUGGGCGUAAAGAGGGAGCAGGCGGCACUAAGGGUCUGUGGUGAAAGAUCGAAGCUUAACUUCGGUAAGCCAUGGAAACCGUAGAGCUAGAGUGUGUGAGAGGAUCGUGGAAUUCCAUGUGUAGCGGUGAAAUGCGUAGAUAUAUGGAGGAACACCAGUGGCGAAGGCGACGAUCUGGCGCAUAACUGACGCUCAGUCCCGAAAGCGUGGGGAGCAAAUAGGAUUAGAUACCCUAGUAGUCCACGCCGUAAACGAUGAGUACUAAGUGUUGGGGGUCAAACCUCAGUGCUGCAGUUAACGCAAUAAGUACUCCGCCUGAGUAGUACGUUCGCAAGAAUGAAACUCAAAGGAAUUGACGGGGGCC
rnacentral:rRNA from 1 species